UGACAACUACUUUUUUCCACACAUGUAGACGGUAGACAUACACUUUUCUCAUUACAUUAGCCACAUACACACGUUACACUUGACUUGACGAUCAAUAAUCACAAACCGCCAUGGUAAGCUACUGUCCGAUAUGUGGGAAGCCUGUCUAUUUUGGUGAGAAGAAGAGGUCUUUGGGACGGGAUUACCAUCCUCUGUGUCUGAAGUGUCAAAACUGCAACAGACAACUCACAGCUGGACAACAUGCUGAGUAUGAUGAGAAGCCGUUCUGUUCACACUGCUACCUGAAGAUGUUUGGUCCCAGAGGUAACAGGUGAGGACCAGAACAUGCCUGAAACCAACUUUAGAACUCCUUGACUGACAUUAUACAUUUACUAAAGCACUCAACGUUUGUGUGCACUGUAUUGACAUGUUUUAUACAGUUUGCAAAUUAUAAAAAUGUAUAAUUUUCAACUACUUUUAAUACAUGUAUGUUUAGAUGUAUAAAUGUGAUUUUGGUAUGGAUCAUUCUUAAACAAAGCAAUAAAUAGUAU